rnacentral:lncRNA from 1 species
AGAGUUGUUUGAUUUAUUUAAAGUUUUAAAUAUUGUAGAAUAUUGGAAAGCAGUAGAAUAGUAAAAGCAAUUUUGAUAAACUGUAAAAUAAUCAAGAAUAGAAAUUUGUCUCGGGUUUCAGUUCUGUCUUUCAGUAUUUGAGUCAAUAUUUGAGUCAUGCAAUCUUUCCAUUGAAUACAUGAAAUCUUAUGUGAUGUCUUUUUCCUUGAUUUAAUUCUAAUAUAAUCUAUUCUACUGAGAAUGAACCAUAUCUAAGAGGAUCAUGGCCCAUCCCAUAGAUAUAGAUUAUUUAGAUUGUAAAAUCAAAGUACAGAAUAUGUAUUUAAUAAAUCUUAUAAAUUAUCCUAACUUGAGCAUAGAUCGUAUCUUUCCGCGAUCACGUUCUGUCUCUUGAGUUGUAACUUGUAAGAAAAUAAUAUUGAAGCAUAAUAAGAAAGCAUGUAAAAGAUAAAUGAAAAUAAUUUUAUUACUCAAUGAAAAGAUAACACAAGAUCAGGAAUGCAAACUUUCAUACGAAGACUUCCCUUACUUCUAAAAAAUUAGAGAGCUUAGCCUAGCAUGGUUUCGGUCCUUUUCACCAUUGGCAUCAGAACCUCCUCCCAAUAGCACUUAGAUCUCUCUACAAUCUAAAAUAAAAUCUAAAAAAUAAAAAAAACUUCGACUGCCUACUACCUACUAUCUCUCGAUGUCUUGAUGCCCCUUUUCUAUAUGCAGUCCUCUUUUUUUAUAGAGUAAAAAUCAGGCCGAAAUGAAAUAGUAAUAGAGUUUUAAUUGUAUUCAAACUCCUUAACCUACGCCCGCCAUUCGAUCGAGAUCAAACGGCCCAAAUCCUACUUAAAACAAGCCUAAAUCAGGUCGGCAGCCUUCCCAAUCAUCUGAUCCUUUCCUAGAUUAAAUC